GACGUAGGUGGCGAGCGUUGUUCGGAAUUACUGGGCGUAAAGGGCUCGUAGGCGGCCAACUAAGUCGGACGUGAAAUCCCCAGGCUCAACCUGGGAACUGCGUCUGAUACUGGAUGGCUUGAAUCCGGGAGAGGGAUGCAGAAUUCCAGGUGUAGCGGUGAAAUGCGUAGAUAUCUGGAGGAAUACCGGUGGCGAAGGCGGCAUCCUGGACCGGCAUUGACGCUGAGGAGCGAAAGCCAGGGGAGCAAACGGG
rnacentral:rRNA from 1 species